ACGGACCAGAAGCUUGCUUCUCUGAUGUUAGCGGCGGACGGGUGAGUAACACGUGGAUAACCUACCUAUAAGACUGGGAUAACUUCGGGAAACCGGAGCUAAUACCGGAUAAUAUUUUGAACCGCAUGGUUCAAAAGUGAAAGACGGUCUUGCUGUCACUUAUAGAUGGAUCCGCGCUGCAUUAGCUAGUUGGUAAGGUAACGGCUUACCAAGGCAACGAUGCAUAGCCGACCUGAGAGGGUGAUCGGCCACACUGGAACUGAGACACGGUCCAGACUCCUACGGGAGGCAGCAGUAGGGAAUCUUCCGCAAUGGGCGAAAGCCUGACGGAGCAACGCCGCGUGAGUGAUGAAGGUCUUCGGAUCGUAAAACUCUGUUAUUAGGGAAGAACAUAUGUGUAAGUAACUGUGCACAUCUUGACGGUACCUAAUCAGAAAGCCACGGCUAACUACGUGCCAGCAGCCGCGGUAAUACGUAGGUGGCAAGCGUUAUCCGGAAUUAUUGGGCGUAAAGCGCGCGUAGGCGGUUUUUUAAGUCUGAUGUGAAAGCCCACGGCUCAACCGUGGAGGGUCAUUGGAAACUGGAAAACUUGAGUGCAGAAGAGGAAAGUGGAAUUCCAUGUGUAGCGGUGAAAUGCGCAGAGAUAUGGAGGAACACCAGUGGCGAAGGCGACUUUCUGGUCUGUAACUGACGCUGAUGUGCGAAAGCGUGGGGAUCAAACAGGAUUAGAUACCCUGGUAGUCCACGCCGUAAACGAUGAGUGCUAAGUGUUAGGGGGUUUCCGCCCCUUAGUGCUGCAGCUAACGCAUUAAGCACUCCGCCUGGGGAGUACGACCGCAAGGUUGAAACUCAAAGGAAUUGACGGGGACCCGCACAAGCGGUGGAGCAUGUGGUUUAAUUCGAAGCAACGCGAAGAACCUUACCAAAUCUUGACAUCCUUUGACAACUCUAGAGAUAGAGCCUUCCCCUUCGGGGGACAAAGUGACAGGUGGUGCAUGGUUGUCGUCAGCUCGUGUCGUGAGAUGUUGGGUUAAGUCCCGCAACGAGCGCAACCCUUAAGCUUAGUUGCCAUCAUUAAGUUGGGCACUCUAAGUUGACUGCCGGUGACAAACCGGAGGAAGGUGGGGAUGACGUCAAAUCAUCAUGCCCCUUAUGAUUUGGGCUACACACGUGCUACAAUGGACAAUACAAAGGGCAGCGAAACCGUGAGGUCAAGCAAAUCCCAUAAAGUUGUUCUCAGUUCGGAUUGUAGUCUGCAACUCGACUACAUGAAGCUGGAAUCGCUAGUAAUCGUAGAUCAGCAUGCUACGGUGAAUACGUUCCCGGGUCUUGUACACACCGCCCGUCACACCACGAGAGUUUGUAACACCCGAAGCCGGUGGAGUAAC
rnacentral:rRNA from 1 species